GGAGGGGGUGAGAACGGUGGCCCCUCACGUCCUCUAACUCUGUUCUGUGUUCCUCCACAUAUGGCUCCAUCUCCUGUCAUAACACAAGAGACCUGGGCACAUGCAAGUGGCCUUGUAAAUUCGUUCCUGAUGGAGAGGAGCUGGAAGACUCCACCAAGGACAAGCUGCUUUGAGGAUUUAGGAGAAGAUUUCGUAGCUCUAGGCCUGGGAAUAAACACUCGAUUGGGUAGACCAGGGAUAUGCUCUUCAUAGACCAGGCCCUGCAGACACUGCUGAAUGCCUCUCUGAGGCCCUGCAUGGGCUCCAGCCAUGACUGGAGUGCCUGCCGUUUCCAGGAGUCCGACUAGGUGCAACCGAAUGUCGUGGGUGCAGUGAGAUGAAACCAGAAAAAGCAUCUCUCUGCCCUAAGACUAUGUCUUUGGUCUAGACUUCCGCAUGUGCUUGACCAACAGUUUCAUCCAUUCCGACAGCCAUAGACUUUUGUUUUCCUCUGGUUAAAAAAGUAGUUGA